rnacentral:lncRNA from 1 species
ACAACACAAGAGUUAUAAUAAGGAAGAUGUACACCUUAUGAUGAAAAAGUCAAAAUAACUUUUAUUCAUUGAUUAAUAAUUUGUAUAUAAAAUUUAAUUAUUUACAAUAAGCCAAUUGACUUUAGGAUAUAUUUUUUAAUAACUUUCACUUGAACUAAAGUCAAUCGGGAUAGUAUUUUAUACCCAUCUUCUACUUAUGAUUAUCAAACUCUUUGAUCAUAAGAGCUUUAGUGAAAGGGUCGGUCAGUUUUUUUUUUCAUCAAUCUUUUUCAGCUUGACAUCACCUCGAUCCAUGAUUUCAAUUUCACAGACAAGAUGAUAGAGUCACAGAAUGUGUUUGGUUUUGUGAUGGGACUUGAGCUCCUUUUCUUUCAUUAUGGCUCCAAUACUAUCAUAAUAUAGUAAAAAACUAAACUAUCAAUAGAGAAAACCACUCCA